AGAGACUCGGUGGGGUGGGGAGGGGGAAAGGGAGGGGGAGACGGAGUUUAAAGGCGAUAGAAAAAUAGGGAAGUGAUAAUGGGAGGCCGAGACAGAGAGGACGGAUAGAUGAAACUACGGGAGAGAGAAAGAGGCAGCGAGCAAACGAGUUAGACAAAGAGAGAGAGAGAUUCGAGAUGAUCCUCAAAGAGGGGACGAUCUUUGGGCCUGGGAGUCUCUCCGGGUGCUUUGGAGGCUAUAGAAGCAGUAACGAAAAAAGUAGACAAAACCAGUCUAAGGUAUAAAUCUCUUUGGUUUAGGAUACAACAUUGACGUUAUAAAUGUUCACUGAGGAAAACUGCGAUUUGUGACGUUAUUUGGACGCUAUUUUGCGUUAUUUCGCGUUUUGAAAACGCGUUGAAACGAAAUUGGGGGACUCCAAAAUGUAAAGAACGUCCCUGUGGCAUUUUGCGAUGUUUUGCGUAUAAAGAUAACAUCAAAAUGUCACACCUCUAGGUAUUGUAUAUGCGCAUAAAUGAAUCUUAAGGGUCUAUCCAGGCAAACUUGCACAGGCGCAUAAGCGUAUGCAUAAAAAUCGAUCUGUCAUUUAUUCGCCCGUCGAUCAAUCUCGCAACAGUAGAUAAAUAAAAUAAAACAAAAUAUCGCACUUA